rnacentral:rRNA from 1 species
GUAAUCGGAAUGAGUACACUUUAAAUCCUUUMACGAGNAUCCAUUGGAGGGCAAGUCUGGUGCCAGCAGCCGCGGUAAUUCCAGCUCCAAUAGCGUAUAUUAAAGUUGUUGCGGUUAAAAAGCUCGUAGUUGAAUCUGUGUGCCACGCUGUCNGUUCAUCGCUCGCGAUGUUUAACUGACAUGAUUGUGGGACGUCCUACCGGUGGACUCAGCCUCUUUCUUUUCGGAGGGGAGGCGGUCCAGCUAAUAUCCCAUCGCGGUGCUUUUCAUCGAGUGUCGAGGUGGGCCGGUACGUUUACUUUGAACAAAUUAGAGUGCUCAAAGCAGGCCAUCCUCGCCUGAAUACUGUGUGCAUGGAAUAAUGGAAUAGGACCUCGGUUCUAUUUUGUUGGUUUUCGGAACCCCGAGGUAAUGAUUAAUAGGGACAGAUGGGGGCAUUCGUAUUGCGACGUUAGAGGUGAAAUUCUUGGAUCGUCGCAAGACGGACAGAAGCGAAAGCAUUUGCCAAAAAUGUUUUCAUUAAUCAAGAACGAAAGUUAGAGGUUCGAAGGCGAUCAGAUACCGCCCUAGUUCUAACCAUAAACGAUGCCAGCUAGCGAUCCGCCGAAGUUCCUUUGAUGACUCGGCGGGCAGCUUCCGGGAAACCAAAGCUUUUGGGUUCCGGGGGAAGUAUGGUUGCAAAGCUGAA